AUGAAUGAGAUGCUGUACAGUACAAUCCUACUGACACAGCAGAGGGAUAACGACGGCUAUUCAACAUCGUUGCACGACACAUUCGAGCUGCAUGUUGCUGACAAAGUGACUAAAUCAUCUUUUUUGUGGUUUAUUGUCUUCAAACCAGCAGACAAAGCUGAUGGCAGAAGUAGUUUGGAGAAGAACUUCAGGCCGUGUACUGAAAAGAUCAAAGCAGCUCGUGCUCUGUCUGCUUCCAUUCUGAUGGCAAGAAGAAGAAGAAGAAGAAGAAUGCUUCAGCGAAGUGGCGUUCAUGGUCUCAGUGGACAGUCAUGGUCACACACUGCAUGUGGUUUUAAAAGCAACAUGUCUGUUCACAACAAUCGAGAUGUGUAAUAUUAGUGCAGCUACGGUUUGUUCUUGAACAUCAGUUCUGUUUUAUACUUUGACCACUUAGACCAAAAAAAGUGUUGUUUUCAGAUUCUUUCUUAUAAAUCUGUAAAGCACCUGCUCAUUUUUUAUUACAAUUAGUUUCACAUAAAUGUUAGUGUUUCCUUUAUGAUCUUUUAAUGCUUACACUACACUGUGCACAUCUACAUUAGAGACAUUUCUGUUACCUAUGUACAGUGUUGGGGAGUAACGGAAUACAUGUACCGCCGUUACGUAUUCAGAAUACAAAAUAUGAGUAACUGUAUUCCGUUACAGUUACCGUUUAAAAAGGUGGUAUUCAGAAUACAGUUACUUUGUUGAAAUAAAUGGAUUACACUGCGGUACUUCCCUGUUUCAUAUUGUCGCGGGUCAGGAUUGUUUGGGUUUGUUUGACAGCUAUGUUCUGUUGUUCCAGGCGGCAGCGUUACGGUUGCCAUGGUUACAGGGUGACGCGCUCUCUCUCUGCGUGUUUCCUGGGUGAGAGAGCGCCUUUUUGUUGUUGUUGCUGUGCUAAGCUAAUAGACAGAAUGCUACAGGCAUAGCUCUAAAGAAUGUAGCUUCAUAGGCAGUGUAGUCCGUGCUGCAGGGAGAAUGGACUGCCAUACCCGUUAUGUGUCUGUGAGCGAGGGAGGGAGAGAAAGGAAGUCCGAGCUGUCACGGAGCAAAAACGGGAGCUGGAAGCAUGUAAAUAUAAUAAUAACCACAGCAGCCAAGAAGAGUGCCUGACGAGCCCAUUUGUAAGUAAGCUAUUAAGACUCAACUGUACACUGUGUUCGUGUUUUCCUCCGGAAAAAAUAAGUUCCGUUGGAGCAGCCUUUCAACGCCUCUCUCUGUCUCUGGCAAGCAAAGUUGACCCAGACAACAAAGUAAAGCUAGUUUUCGGCUACCAGCCCGACACGGAACCCGAAGUAUUAGCCGGAGGUCCCUUUACUACGUUUCGGAGCCGCGGACCUUCAGUAACAGUAAUAAAUCACAGCAAUAGUACAUUCACGUAGUUGUAAACAGCAUGAUAAUAUAUUAAGUAAUCCAAAGUAUUCAGAAUACGUUACUCUCAUUGAGUAACGUAACGGAAUACGUUACAGAAUACAUUUUGGGGCAUGUAUUCAGUAUUCUGUAAUGGAAUACAUUUUAAAAGUAACCUUCCCAACACUGCCUAUGUAUGAGACUGGGCUGCUUGACUACGAUUUGGAAAUGGAUGCAAAAUCACACAGAUCGUGCUAUUGUUUGUUUUUUAAUAUGAUGGACUGAACACAGGAGGUAUCUGACUAAGCAAAGAUUAGUCCGAUCCCAUUUCUACCUGUCUCUACUGUUUCAACAUUUCACUGAAGUUUGCUCAACUGUAACUGUCAGGAUAUAUAUUUAUUCCAGCUCUCAUAGGGCAAAGGAAUGACUCAGACUUGUCAAAUGUUCUUUGAUUUGAUACACAAUAUGAAGUUCACAAUUUUCUUACAAAUAAAACUAUAAUGACAAACAUGAACAGCUGUGCUUAUUUCUGAGACAUGAUUUUUUUUAAAUGUGUUCAUAUUUAGACAUUUGUAUGCUGAAACUGUAAUGGUGAACCUGAGGUGAUGGUCAGCAGAAGGCAAAUAUAUAUAAAUAUAAAACAAUAUUGAAGUAAUGUCUUUACCCUGUGCAGCGUGUGGACGCUGUGCACACAAUCACCUUAUUCACUGUAGUAAACGUGCACCGCUAGCUCACGUGACUGACUGUCUCCAUGGUUACAUCGUAUAUUAUUAGCUAUGUAAACAGCUUCCAAAGAUACCGCCAUAGCUCUCUGCAGCUGUAACACUUUCACACUUUACAAAUCAUUUCACGUUUUUGAUAGUUAUGAAUAAAGAAUGUGUUUUAAAGACAUGCUAGGCUGUUGCUAUGGUGGUUGCUGUGGACUAGAGUGGACCGCGUCCGAUUCCUGUUAUUAGCUGUCCGCCAUAGGAAGGCUGCGUUCCAUUUAGAAGUAGCACCAGUCUGCCGUAACUCGAACUCAAACCCCGUUUUGUUCUGUAAUUAAAGGGCUUUUACAGCCGUUCAUGACAUGCACGCACACACACAUAAAGCACUUUGCCUCACCAUGAGAAUGCAACUUUACUAAAACCUUUAAAGUAUCUGAGUUAGGAUAGAAAAAUGAAGCAACCAGAGAUUUAAUGAUGAAGACUCUGGGUUCUGUAGUUCACGUUUUACAGUCCUGAAUGACUCACUGCAUAUCCAUAUAAUUUAUUGAAGAGGAGUUUAGAAUGCACUUUACAUUUAGACAGUUGCUGUUUAAUUUUUUACAUUGUUACCAUGUCAUGAAUAACGUUCACCUGCCAGGGGUUUGAUGGAUCAGCUGGACAAUACAGUCAAAGACAGACUUCAUUCAUCAUAUGCAAGAAUCCUAGUUGGAUUUUUGUUUUCACUCAUAUUUUAGAACCAAAUAUUGAAAACAACUGUGACAGACUGGAUACCUGGUCAGGGUGUACAUUACCUUGUACUCAAGCAUCCCAGGACAGAGCCCUGCCCCACCAUGAGCCUGAGUGGAUACAUGGUUAUAAUAUAAAAUGACUGAUACUGAAUAUGAAUAUUUCAUGAAAAUCAAAUUAUAAUAUGAAUUCCUAGGUGUUUGUUAUAUCCAGCAAGAGAUUGAUUACAUAUGUCUGAAUUGCUAACCCUAACCCUAGCUCAACAGACCACAAUGCCCUGGACUGUCAGUAUUAUUACAUGCUGUGAACAUAAGUAGCUUUGAUCACAGUUUAUGUUGUAAAAGAGAAGGAAUAUUGAAAAAAAGAUCAACAUUGUGAUAUUAUUUCUUCCAAACUGACCAGAAACAUGCUUGUCAGACUCUCACAGCAAAGGAUCAGACUCACUGUGCAUGACGGCUCAGGCCAAUAAUGUUUGUUAGAUUGUCAGUUGUUUAGUGCUUCUGUACAGUUAGGGUCACCAUCUCUAUUUCAGUAUAAUUAAUAUGCAGAAAACACUAAAAGUUGAUUGUCUUCCAAUAUUCUAGCAUAAUUAAAAAACUUUGACUUUGUUAGUACAUAUUGGUACAGUCCUAAUGCCAAUAUGAUUCUUCAUAAUGCCUGCUUUGAAAUACUGAACUUUAAAAUUUACCUGAUGAAAGAUAAUUUACAGUGGCACUCUGUCAGGAUAAUUCUGACUAUAAGAUCACUGUAUUAAUCUGAAUCCUUCUGCAAUGUGCUGUGAAUGAAUGCUGAUGCAACUGACUGUGGGAAAGCUGUUAAUAAAAUGAAUCUGUGACACAUGCAACACAUUCACAGAGGAAGAGGACACAAAGGGAGGACACGCAGAGGCUGUGUUAAAGUCAGAAAUCCAAAUCUUUAGUCAAAAACAGGCAGCGGUUACAAGACAAGCAGUCCAUUAAACAGUCUACAGAGUCAAACAUGCAGUGAAUUCAAACAACAGUAAAAAAUAACUGGACACUGAAAAACUUAAAGCAAUGUGUGAUGCAAUAAAAGGAAGCAGCAGAGUAUCUUCACUGAAUUAUCAUCAAUUACAAAAGAGAAAAACGACGAUUUCUACGGUUUGUUUUCUUAAAUGCAGUUAGAGUGUGGCUGGUAAAGAUGGAAACAUACGGAAUGUAAACUGUGUGAGUUUAGUGAACUUUGUUAGUAACAAAUGAGGUAAAAAACAAAACAAAACAAACCAGACAAAACACAGAAAGAGUCUCUCAGUAUUCAUUAAUAAUUAGAAAGCAUCUAAACAUUCUGGUCGUGGAUUUUUACAGUCUUAGUUCCGCUCGCUGUCAUUAUUAUAAUCAUCAUGAUCAAUGGCGAGGUCCUGAGGUGGGCGGGGCUGUCUCUGGUGAUGAAACCAUGAAGUUACAGCGUCUGGCACGUGUUGGUGAAACAUCCCAGUACACUGGUGUAGUUUCCUCACCAGCUGUUUGACAUUUGACACUUCAACAUUAAGGGGAAGAAGAAGAAACAGUGUUAGGUCAGGUGACCACAUGGUUUCUAAAAUAACUGACAGGAAGUAACC
rnacentral:lncRNA from 1 species